UGAGACGCAACAAAUUUUCUUUCUCCUUCUGCGAUAAAUCAAACCCUAGGAUUCUCAUCGGAAUCAAAAGAAAAGUCAAUCAAAUUCGAAUCCAAUUAAUUAAAUACCCAUCGUCUGAUUGAUUUCUCUUUGUUUCUUAAACUCAUUAAAUUCAGAGGAACUUGAAGAGAAGUAAUAACGAUGAAGCAGAUUGAUUUCUGACCAAAUUUGUUUUCUUCAACUCAUUCAUAUCGAUUCUGGUAUGAUUUCUCUUCUUAUUCUUCGAUUACUCUUAUUUCAGUUUUUCAAUUAUGAACCUAGGCUUUAAACAUUGAGGGAUUUUUAGAAUUGGGUUCAAUUGGGAGUUUCUGAUUGUGAUUAUGAUUUUUUUAGUUUUUCUAUAUGGGUGAUUAUGGUUAAAGAUGAACAAAAUGUGGAGAAAAAGUGGGAUAAUUUUGUGAAGAUUAAAUGGGGUUUACCUAACUGUCAAUUAGCUUAAUUUUGUAAGAAAUUUGUGUUGUUAUGUUUAAGGUUAGGUAAAAAAUCCCAUUUUGAUUAUGGGUUUUCAUUGUGACUUUGAAUUAUGAUUUUUUCAUUGUAAUUUAGGUUUUAGAAAAUCCCCCAUUCUGAUCUGAAUGGUAGUUUUGAAAUCAGGUAUGAACUUCUUUUUUUUCGAUUUUAAGCCGAAGAAAAUCCACUAGUUAACAAUGUUUUAAUUUCAUUUCAUUGUUGAGAAAUUUAGAUUAAGUGUAGAUGGUGAUAAAGCAUCAACCUUUAGAAUUUUUCUCUAGGUAACCAAGGUUCGAAAUAAUGAGCUGAUGGUGUGCAGAUAUAGUUUAGAUAGAUUUUGAGGUGCGGUGACAAUUACAGUUGUUGAGGUUGAUUAGGUUUUACGAUUGGGGAUUAUUCACUUGUAUGAUGUUAUCCAACUCUGUGGCUAAAUAGAGAAAUUACUAGUUACAAUCGUUGAGGUUAGAAGAAGAUAAAUUUAGACCUACUUCAUGUUUAUGCAGGAAAAGGCAUUAGUUAUGUAUUUACGAUAUAGAAAUGUACCUCAGUUACUAAAAGUCAGCAUCUUAAUAUAGAAGGAAUGUGAAUAGCUAGAGUUUUCUAGAGUGGUCUUAGGCUGGAAAGUUAGAGAGAGUUCUAGAGAUAGAGUAGUCGGUUAGGUGAAGCUAUAAAUAGGCUGUAGUGGAUUCAGUUGAGACUUGUAAUUGAGUAAAUACCCAAAGAGUGGUAUAGGUUGAGUGAGUGCAUAGUUGAGCGACAACUACUUGUGUAAUCGAGUGAAAUCCUGAAGUGGGUAGUAAGGUGAGGAAUCAGUAAAGUUGAGUCUUGUAAAAGAGUCUAAGGUCUGUACGACGAAAGUUUUGAGAAGUAAUAAAAUUUUCUUCUUCUCAAACUUCAAACUUCAGUUGAGGGAUUUCCAAGUUCAUUGAGCGAGUCCUAAACAUUCUCAUACCCAUUUAGCCUUUAGCCCCAAAAUCAUUUCCAACAAAUACCUGAUGAAAUGAAUAUACAGGAUGUUCAAGUAGAGAAAAUUUCUAGCCAGUAAAAUUACAGUUCAAAGAAAGGUGUGAAGCUUUUCUGUCAGUAAAUUAUAUUGCUAUUGCCAAUGGAUUCAUUUUGUGCUGAAUUUAAUAUGCUGAUAACAUGUUGGUAUCUAUUUACAUUGUGUAAUUAGGGACGUUGAUCUUGAAUAUGCUCGAAAGUUUGGUAAUUGGAGCUGACAUAACUCAACUUACGGGUUUUGAUUUUAAUAGUUUACUAUUGUUGUAUGUCACUAAGCUCAACAAUCCGAUACUUGUUCUGUUUCUUGAUUUUUUAUUCUUUACUAUUUCUAGAUUCCUUCUUUUUCUUGAUUUUUUAUCUCAUGUUUGGCUUAAUAUUCUCUUCUUUUGCAUAGCUAGUGAAAGAGAGAAAAACAGAUUCAGUUUUGUGGUUAUUUGUUAUGAGGCUAUGUGCAGUAAGAUUGAUAAAGGGUGUACUGUAUGUAGUCAAAGCCGAGAAGGAAGGUAACUACAUAUGGACUUGAUUUGAGUAUUUCUGGCCAUUGACUCGUUUGCUUGAAAUUUAUGGUGACAAGAAGCAAGAAUGCUGCCAAGAAGACAAGGAUAGCGACAAUGUAAUUGUAUCGUUAACAUUUUGCGCAACUGGAAUUUGAGUUAGCAAAAAGAAGGUUUCUGAACUUGGAUCUUGUUGACAUUAAUGUCUUCCGCGAUGCGAAGAAGGUCAUUGAUUCCCUUCAAAGCAGGGUAACUCCUGGUGUGCAGAACAAAUCCAGGUUGAUGAAAUCAAAGGUGCAACUUGAUUUCUCUAGUUCUCUGUUUAGCUUGUGCUAUUUAUUUAGGUGAAAAGCCCAUCAUCUCAUACUAUGCACAUUUUAGUUUAACAGUCUCUAGUGAUUUUUAUAAACUUUAAACCUGCAAGUAGGUUUGAUAUUCUAGUAUACAGGAUGAUGGACGAUAUUCUUUGGGCAAUAGUACUUAAUGACUGUUAUUUGUCUAGGUCCACAGAUUCUUGUAGAAUUCGUUUUACUGUUUCAUAUAUCCCUUCCGACCUCUUUGCUAAAUGAUCGUUCUAGACGUUAAAGUGGGGAUAGCAAACUAAAUGAUCGUUCUAGACUUUAAAGUGGGGAUAGCAAAUGAUAUAGCAUGUUAGUUUGAUUAAGGUUAGCAAUGGGGCUUGUUUGGUGGUAAGCUUGCAUAAGGCCGGUAUGGGUUCAGCACUUUUAUUUAUUGCAUCGUAAAAUGUGGUAAGCUUUCUUGAGGUCAGCGGGGGAUCUCUUUAUCAAUUGAGUUGGAUUUAUAGAAAAAUUUCAUCUCAGUUUGAAAUAGCAGUUUAGACAGAAAGAAGCUAAGCUCCAUCUUCUUCUCACUGCUGCUAACUUGUAACUUCUCUUUUCUUAUUUCUUCUUCAUUUUUUUUCUUUUUUUGCUGCUGUAAUUCUUAUUGUUUUUGCCCAGUGAACUGGUUGCAUCAGCCCUUUUUCAUAUUUUUUUGCCUUGCAUACCUGCAGUGACUUGGUACUUGAUGUUUGAUACAUUGAGUUUCUUUAAUGCCAAGCAACAUUGACUUCUUGACUAGUAUACCAGCAAUAUUUAGUGUAUGUUGAAUCACAUGGUUUUUGUUAUGUUGAACCAACUGAGGAGAUUGGAUUACGGAAGGAAAACUUGCUGCUGACAGUUAUGUUUCAGUUUUUUCUCCCACACAAUUUUCCAAUCCCUCUUCUGACUCACUGUGUCACUUGAGUGACUAAACUGCUAAUCACUUUUUCGUCAGGGUAUCAUGAAACUGUGUGUUCGAUUUUUUUUUGUGCGUGCUUGUUUCUGUUUGAGUGACUAAAUGUGUCUGCAGUUGACAAACUCGGAAGAUAAUUGUAUAAUUCUUUAAACUAUAUGUGUUUGAAUACUAUUGAAUAUGUGGUGCAA